rnacentral:rRNA from 1 species
AGAGUUUGAUCAUGGCUCAGGACGAACGCUGGCGGCACGCUUAACACAUGCAAGUCGAACGAGAGAAGAGGAGCUUGCUUUUCUGAUCUAGUGGCGGACGGGUGAGUAACACGUGAGCAAUCUGCCUUUCAGAGGGGGAUACCGAUUGGAAACGAUCGUUAAUACCGCAUAACAUAAUUGAACCGCAUGGUUUGAUUAUCAAAGAUUUAUCGCUGAAAGAUGAGCUCGCGUCUGAUUAGCUAGUUGGUAAGGUAACGGCUUACCAAGGCGACGAUCAGUAGCCGGACUGAGAGGUUGAUCGGCCACAUUGGGACUGAGACACGGCCCAGACUCCUACGGGAGGCAGCAGUGGGGAAUAUUGCACAAUGGAGGAAACUCUGAUGCAGCGAUGCCGCGUGAGGGAAGAAGGUUUUAGGAUUGUAAACCUCUGUCUUCAGGGACGAAAAAAGACGGUACCUGAGGAGGAAGCUCCGGCUAACUACGUGCCAGCAGCCGCGGUAAUACGUAGGGAGCGAGCGUUGUCCGGAAUUACUGGGUGUAAAGGGAGCGUAGGCGGGAUCGCGAGUCAGAUGUGAAAACUAUGGGCUUAACCCAUAAACUGCAUUUGAAACUGUGGUUCUUGAGUGAAGUAGAGGUAAGCGGAAUUCCUAGUGUAGCGGUGAAAUGCGUAGAUAUUAGGAGGAACAUCAGUGGCGAAGGCGGCUUACUGGGCUUUAACUGACGCUGAGGCUCGAAAGCGUGGGGAGCAAACAGGAUUAGAUACCCUGGUAGUCCACGCCGUAAACGAUGAUUACUAGGUGUGGGGGGACUGACCCCUUCCGUGCCGCAGCAAACGCAAUAAGUAAUCCACCUGGGGAGUACGACCGCAAGGUUGAAACUCAAAGGAAUUGACGGGGGCCCGCACAAGCAGUGGAGUAUGUGGAUUAAUUCGAAGCAACGCGAAGAACCUUACCAGGUCUUGACAUCGUAUGCAUAGCUCAGAGAUGAGUGAAAUCUCUUCGGAGACAUAUAGACAGGUGGUGCAUGGUUGUCGUCAGCUCGUGUCGUGAGAUGUUGGGUUAAGUCCCGCAACGAGCGCAACCCUUACUGUUAGUUGCUACGCAAGAGCACUCUAGCAGGACUGCCGUUGACAAAACGGAGGAAGGUGGGGAUGACGUCAAAUCAUCAUGCCCCUUAUGACCUGGGCCUCACACGUACUACAAUGGCUGUCAACAGAGGGAAGCAAAGCCGCGAGGUGGAGCGAACCCCUAAAAGCAGUCUUAGUUCGGAUUGUAGGCUGCAACCCGCCUACAUGAAGUCGGAAUUGCUAGUAAUCGCAGAUCAGCAUGCUGCGGUGAAUACGUUCCCGGGCCUUGUACACACCGCCCGUCACGCCAUGGGAGUCGGUAACACCCGAAGCCUGUAGUCUAACCGCAAGGAGGACGCAGUCGAAGGUGGGAUUGAUGACUGGGGUGAAGUCGUAACAAGGUA